rnacentral:rRNA from 1 species
UACAGAGGGUGCGAGCGUUAAUCGGAAUUACUGGGCGUAAAGCGUGCGUAGACGGUAGCGUAAGUCAGAUGUGAAAGCCCCGGGCUCAACCUGGGAACUGCAUUUGAGACUGCUCUGCUCGGGUGCGGAAGAGGGAAGCGGAAUUUCCGGUGUAGCGGUGAAAUGCGUAGAUAUCGGGAAGAACACCCGUGGCGAAGGCGGCUCUCUGGGACGGUACUGACGCUGAGACGCGAAAGCGUGGGGAGCGAACAGG